CCUACGGGUGGCAGCAGUGAGGAAUAUUGGUCAAUGGGCGAGAGUCUGAACCAGCCAAGUAGCGUGAAGGAUGACUGCCCUAUGGGUUGUAAACUUCUUUUAUAUGGGAAUAAAAUGUUCCACGUGUGGGAUUUUGUAUGUACCAUAUGAAUAAGGAUCGGCUAACUCCGUGCCAGCAGCCGCGGUAAUACGGAGGAUCCGAGCGUUAUCCGGAUUUAUUGGGUUUAAAGGGAGCGUAGGUGGAUUGUUAAGUCAGUUGUGAAAGUUUGCGGCUCAACCGUAAAAUUGCAGUUGAAACUGGCAGUCUUGAGUACAGUAGAGGUGGGCGGAAUUCGUGGUGUAGCGGUGAAAUGCUUAGAUAUCACGAAGAACUCCGAUUGCGAAGGCAGUUCACUGGACUGCAACUGACACUGAGGCUCGAAAGUGUGGGUAUCAAACAGGAUUAGAUACCCUAGUAGUC
rnacentral:rRNA from 1 species